UACGAUUUGACUCACAACAACUGUUUUCCAUUUUUCAGUUUAGAUCUCUCUCACACUCUCACUCACUUUUUUUCUUUCUUUUUCUCGUAACCUCAAAUCAUUUGAUUCCUCAAACCCAGAAACAAGGUGAAGCCUCUGUAGCAGCCUCCGGUUACCGAGUUGACUCAUUCAAUAUAAAUCAAAUUAAUGGAGAUGGGAAGUGAAGGGUUGAUUGCAAGGAAGCUGACUUUUUGUAUCUCCAUGUUUUCUGGGAUUCUCCAUUUUAAUCUCCGACAACUCCAACUUUAUUUAUUGCUUUGAUGAAUUUACUCUGGAAAAUAAGUUCAGUGUUCUCACUUUUCAUGUUCUUCGGCUAGUGAGACAAGGGAAAACUAGGGUUAAUGUUGUAUAUGGUCUGAUUGAUGGUUGUAGGUACAAUCUGUCUGAGAAAUAUGGUGUACAUGUGGACACUUUUUUGCAAUACAUAUAUUAGGCCUCUAACCCAUUUGUAUAUAUAUCUAUAAGUGGAUUGUGUUAUAUUGUAGUAAUUUUAUAUGCACCUUAAGCUUGGUUGUGGCAUGUGUUAUCUUUUUAGUUAACUCUAGAAGAUUUUGGUGCAAAACAAGUUUCUCUUUUUCUGUCGUAUUAGAAUUAACAUAGACUUUAUUGAAGUUUUGUGAGUUCUUCUCAAGUAUAAACUUUAUAAUUGACAUUUGUAUAUAUGUACACCAAAAUACCCCUUCCGUUUCAUAUUAAGUGUCAUUGUAGAUGAAAUUUUUCAUUGCAAAAUAAGUGUCGUUUUAGCUUUUCGAUGCAGCAUUUAUUGAUUUUAUUAUGCAGAUUAUUUUUCUAUUGGUUGAAAUAGGAGUAGGUGUAUGGGUAUGGGUAAUGGUGUUUUUAUAUGGAAAACAUGCAAAACUAAAUGAUUUCUUAAUUUGUGUGCAAAAAUCUCAAACGACACUUAUUUAGAAACAGAGGGAGUAUUUAACUUUGUAUGCGUGGACUCUGAAAUUAGGUGUACACGUGGAUAUUUUUGUAGAUGUACAAGCGGUUUUGAAUUUGGAUUUUUUGGGUGUUUGUGUCUUUUUUUGGUCAAUUGUGCCUAAGUGAAUAUUGUUCUAAACAAAGUUGUUGGCGUAUGUAAGUAAGUAGAUGUUGUCAAAGUGCCUAUUGUGGAUUAAGUGUAUUGUCAAAGUGCCUAUCAUGGAAAAAGUUGUUCGAGUGAAUGUACACCUAGUCAGAGUGAAAUAUUUAGUGUACACUGCCUUUUUUUUUUGCUCAACACUCGAAACAUGGAGAAUAUUACACCUUGCAAACACCGGUCCUUUAAAUCAUAUGUGUACAUGUAAUUCCAUUUGACAAUAUAUAUAUAUAUAUAUAUAUAUAUGUAUAUCAUUCAAAGACCUUUAGAUGCAUGUAACAGAUUAUUAGUCAUGUGUGUACGAGGCUCUAUGUAUAACAACAGUAUAUAGCACGGAAACAAAAUCUUUCUGAAAUUUUGUCAAAUGAUGUACACGUGGAUGCUUGUGAAACAAUGUACAAAUGAAUCAUUGUACACAUUGAUAAUAAUAUUUACGUGUACACAUGUACGUCGUUGGCUGUGUGCAUAUAACAAAAACCCAAACUACACUUUUACAAAAUUUAUACUUAUAAACACUUCACUCUUACUAGUUUCUUAUCUUGCUUAAAAAUAGUUAAAAUACCAACAAUUCAACAAGCUCACUCCAAAGUGGGAUCCUUUUAUUGUCCUAUGAAUAUACAUUACAUCCAUUACUUUAAAAAUUACAAAGUCCAUGCACCUUACAAUAGAAAAGCAACGUUUUCACAACUGAUGUAAUUAAUAUCUCAAGAUAGAUUUUAAUCGUUAGGCAAUAUCACUAACUUUGAUACUUGAGAUUCCUCCAAAGGUAUUUUGGGUUGGCCAUGUCCACAAACGCCCAUCUUCUAUUAGGUGAACAACAAGGAGACAUUAUAAAAAAUCCCAGAAUUCAAGAACUUAACAAAAAGCAGGGAGAGCUAUAUGUUUAGCUUUUUGAAACUGAGUCAUUGUUUAUCAUUCACUAUAAUGUCAGACACUAACCUUUUCCUUCUCGCUGUUAACAAACAUAGCAUAAACGACUACUGUGAAAUAGACCUGAAGAAACACCACAAGCUCUAACACCGCAAUCCUCCCGUUAAGCCGUUCGGUGUAAGGUCUAAAACCUAACUCCACAUUCAACCCACCUGAAACCGGAUCCUUUACACUCCCCGGCGGGAAAUACAGUCCCGAGCUUCUUGAAGCAGACUCGACUGACUCUUUCUUAGAGUUUCUCAGCUCUGCUUUCUUCCAUGUCUCACUUUGGUAUAUGAGUCAGAUAUAUUGAGAGAUGGGACUCGAAUUCGUCGGAGUCUUUGGUCUCUAUUUAGUUUCUGAAUCCGGUUGAGUAUCCUCGGUUGAUUCGAUAUCGGUGGUGAGGACGGUGGGAGAUUUAAAAGUGUGUGGCUAUCCGGUUGGAAGAAAGUUCAUAGAUGGGAAAUGGGUCGUAAUUUGUAGAGAUGUUAUCGCCAUUUUGUUUUUUCAAAGCUUUGUGCCUCUUUCCUCCUUCUAUUACACCUCCUGUGCUUUCUAGAUCUAAAAUUUAAUUUUCAAUUUUUGUCUUUAGAAAAAUUAUUGAACAGUGGAAUAACUAAACUAGCAAGUUAUGUUAUCAACUAGGACAUAGUAAUACUUAGCAAAAGUUAGGGACAAGUCUGUAAUUCACCAAUAAAAAGUACUUCAGUAGCAAUAAGUGAUUGAGAGUGUAAUAAAAACUCAUAAGUGAUUGAAAAUGUAAUAAAAACUCAUAAAUUAACCUGCAACGAAAAUAACUCUUAAAAUAUAGCGUUGGUCGCAUAUAUCCCUUACUAAAUAUUAUAUCAAAUGUUUUUUUAUCAUAUCAAAAGUAGCUUUAAAAUAUUAUAUAAUCCGCUGAGCUCAUUAUCGUUUUAUCUCCUUAUCAAGGCUGAGCUCAUGCUCCGACCACCACCCCCGGAUCGACUCCUUCGCCACCGCUAUUGUCUUCCGCUCCGGCAUGAAGCUUAAUUCUUCUGCUCAAAUCAUCUCCGUCAUGUCCAGCUAUCACAGUGAACUCCUCCUCCCGGAAUCCAGCCGUCCUCAGUUUCCAAUCUGGUCACGACCUUAUUCCCAUCCAGCCAUGUCUCUUCCGCUGCUUCUUCGCACUCUGCUCCUCACGCCGCCGUCUCCAUCACAGCUACAAGUCAGCAUGCUCUCACCGGAAUCCAUGGACACGAAAAACUCCGCGUUGUGUCUUGCCAAGCUAGCUUCGGCGUCGUCCUAUCAAGCCUUGCCGUCGCGGAUCAAAGUGCAGCUCGAUCGAAGAGCAUCAAUGGUCAAACUUAGCAUAUUUGCAUCCCGUCCUCCAUCAUUUGUAGAAUUCCUUUUCUGACCUCAAACUUAUUAAUUUGCAGAUUGUUCUGCGAAUUCAGCCUCAAAUUUGCAAUUGUGCACUCUACCCCCCUGUUGUAUGCAAAUCAACAUGUAAAUGCAAUAAAUAUACUUAAAUGCAAUAAAUAUAAUAGAUUUGCUAAGA